rnacentral:rRNA from 1 species
CAGUAGCCACGGUAAUACGUAGGUGACAAGCGUUGUCCGGAAUUAUUGGGCGUAAAGGGAGCGCAGGCGGUUGGAAUAGUCUGAUGUGAAAGCCCACGGCUUAACCGUGGAAUUGCAUUGGAAACUGUCCAACUUGAAUGCAGAAGAGGAAAGCGGAAUUCCAUGUAUAGCGGUGAAAUGCGUAGAUAUAUGGAGGAACACCAGUGGCGAAGGCGGCUUUCCGGUCUGUGAUUGACGCUGAGGCUCGAAAGCGUGGGGAGCGAACAGGAUUAGAUACCCCAGUAGUCCCUGUCUCUUAUAC